ensembl:lncRNA
CUGAGGAAGCUAGAAGGAGGGGCCUGGCUCUUGCCUGGACUCGCACAUCAGGGAAGAUUUCCUGGGUCUUGAAGGGCUGGAGGAAUGAACUGGGUGAGAAUGAGAGGACAGCAUUUUAGCACAGAAGAAUGAGGCACGAAACCACACGUAGUUGGAGAAGCUGGAGUAGUAUUUCCCAAAGCCUGGGACACUAAUCACACUUAAUAUUCUGAUUUUCAGCAGUUCAUGGUCAGUAAAACUAACAGGCAAGAAAUCCUCUGAGGGAAGACGAGAUUGGUCAAAGCCGAAGGACAGGUGCUAACAGUGAGUAUCGACUGCAAACCAGCAAAGUGCCAAAGGACCUUCAAGGAGAGCAAAUCAAUGGGCCAGAAGUGAUAAUUUUCUAGAAGUUCUGGGAGGAAGCACGAGCUUCUGAAGCACAGCCGUUCACCGCCUUGCACCCGGUCUGUGGCCCUUUGUUAUGGCAGCCCUAGUGAACUGACACAGCUCCCUCCCUGAAUCGGACUGGCCUGUGCUUACGGAGAUGGCAUUAUGACCCAGGCCACAUCAUAAAGGCUAUAGACCUUCCAUUGGGUCUCUUGGGAGACUGGUCAGCCACGCUGUGAAGAAGCCCCGGUCAUCUGAAAAGGUCACAUGCUGGUGUUCCAGCCCACAAUCCCAGAGUCCAGGAAAAAAAGGCAAAAGUGCCAGCCUGUCAGAGGAUGAGAAGCGUUGUCUGUUCCAGAAGAGGAAACUGGAAAGCAGACUGUAGUAGGACCUAAAAUCUCAGCCAAAUGAGGAGCACUGCCAGCCUGACUCCCCCACAAGUGAAGUGUCUGAAUCCGUCACGAGCAGAACGAGUGCAGAAGACGUAGGCCCACGGGUGCCGAGGGUCUGCCUCCAUCAGGUCAUCUGGGGAUCCAACCCGAGGACAAUGGAGUCUGGAAACCUGCCCAAUUAUUUCCUAGCUUGCUCUUCUUUCUAGUUUUUUUUUUUACUUUGCCCUUCCUUGUUUUUUUAACAAAAUUCAUUUUGAGAGAUUCCAAAUUCUUUUCAGGGAUGGGGAAAUUUUUUAAAACCACAGCUUUACUGAGGAGUAAUUGACAUACAAUACACUGUGCAUAUUUAAAGUAUACAGUCUGAUAUGUUUUGAGAUAUAUAUAUUGGCGGAACCGUCACCGUAAUCAAGAUAGUGAACAUAUCCAUCAUUCCCAAAAGAUCCCUUGGCCAUUUUAUUUAUGUAUUUAUUUAUUUGGUGAGGAAGAUUGGCCCUGAGCUAACAUCUGUUGCCAAUCUUCCUUUUUUUUACUUGAGGAAGAUUGUUGCUGAGCUAACAUCUGUGGCAAUCUUGCUCUGUUUCAUAUGUGGGAUGCUGCCACAGCAUGGCUUGAUGAGCUGUGUGUAGGUCCACACUGGGAUACGAAGUCACCAACCCCAGCCACUGAAGCAGAGCAUGCAAACUAGCCACUGUGCCACUGGACCAGCCCCUCCUUGGUCGUUUUAAGGCCCUGUCUCUGUCCUUUCUGCCCCACAAAGGGAGGGGGGAGUAUUGAUCCUCAGUCAGCUUUGCUUGGGGAGCAUAUUGCCCCUAGUGGCGGAGUGUGGUAAUGACCUCCAUGCCUGGCUUGCUGGAAAUGUCUCUCCUGGAUGAGGAGAAAAGUGGAACUUCAGAGGCUCUGUGUGAGUGUAAUGGUGUGUGUGUGUUUUAC